rnacentral:rRNA from 1 species
UACGUAGGGGGCAAGCGUUGUCCGGAAUCAUUGGGCGUAAAGCGCGUGUAGGCGGCUCAGUAAGUCCGCUCUGAAAGCCCGGGGCUUAACCCCGGGAGGCGGGUGGAUACUGCUGAGCUUGAGUCCGGAAGAGGCGAGUGGAAUUCCCGGUGUAGAGGUGAAAUUCGUAGAUAUCGGGAGGAACACCAGUGGCGAAGGCGGCGAUCUGGGAAGAUACUGACGCUGAGGUGCGAAAGCCAGGGGAGCGAACGGG